rnacentral:rRNA from 1 species
CUACGGGUUGCUGCAGUAAGGAAUAUUGGGCAAUGGACGCAAGUCUGACCCAGCCAUGCCGCGUGCAGGAUGACAGCCCUACGGGUUGUAAACUGCUUUUAUACGGGAAAAAACCCCUGCACGAGUUGCGGGGUUGAUGGUACCGUAAGAAUAAGCAUCGGCUAACUCCGUGCCAGCAGCCGCGGUAAUACGGAGGAUGCAAGCGUUAUGCGGAUUCAUUGGGUUUAAAGGGUGCGUAGGCGGAAUGAUUAGUCAGUGGUGAAAUCCUACAGCUUAACUGUAGAACUGCCAUUGAUACUGUUGUUCUUGAGUACAUUUGAAGUGGGCGGAAUGUGUCAUGUAGCGGUGAUAUGCAUAGAGAUGACACAGAACACCGAUCGCGAAGGCAGCUCACUAAACUGUAACUGACGCUGAGGCACGAAAGCGUGGGGAUCAAACAGGAUUAGAUACCCGGGUAGUC